UUAUCAUGUGUGAAACCCUCUAAUCCCAACUCCAAUCACCUUCCCUUUCCUCUAAAACAACUAAUUUAAUGUCACAAUUUUUGAUAAGAUAAAACAGGUUAUUCUUAGGCAUCUGCUAUCUAUCACAUUAUAGCAGAACCAACAGUACUAUUGGACUCUCUGUAUCCUAGCACUUAGAGCCCCCGUUUUGCACUAAAUGGACACUCACUGACCUGCAGGUGUUUUUAGUUUCUGUCCAUUGUUUUUCUAAACAAAGCAGAGAAGGAGAAGACACUGAAGCAAGAGAAGCAGGGGAAGCUGCAGCCCCCAUGGUGGUGGUGCCUUGAUGCUGUAAGGACUUUUAUUUCUGGUACGAUCCAGAGCUAUGAACGGGAAAGCACACAGCAUAGCAGGUCAGCAGGUCUGAGUAUCCACUGUGAGCUGAGCGUGUAUAAGAAAGUACAAGAAAGGUCUCUGUCUUCCCUGACCUUAGGAUCUGGUUGAAGAAACAGACCACGCACUCCCAGGGAACAGUUAAGCCCUAAGCGGAGCUCUGUGCACUGGAUGAGAAUGAGCAACCCUCACAGCUAGCGGCCUAGGAGUCCACGCUCAGGGAAGUCUCAGUGUGCGCUGCUGGGCUUGAGUAGGCCAUGAAGGACGGGUAGUGCACAGCAAGGCACAGACAAGAGCACCAGAGAGCAAAGACCCUGAUAAUGAUUUUUGGUCUGGAAUUUCAACUAGAGGAGUUCAUCCUAUUGAAGGUGCAAAUCAAAUCCUGUGCUUGGAGUCGCUUUGAAGAGAAAGAGAUUCUAUGAAACUCUUUGCAAGAUGAAGAUGCAGUUUGUCUCUCGCUGAGACCCUGACGCAGGUAUGAGAAGGACUAGAAAAGACUGGAGGUGGAGGAAGCAAUUGACUGCCUAGUGGGAAAGGAACAUGGGAGGACACAGACCGCUCCAUGUGUGAGGUUUGAGCUGAAUCUUGUGGCAUGAGACAUUUCCCUGGAACUAAGCUGCUACUCAGGACAGGAUUGACUGCAUAGCACCCUGAUGUUAAUCACUUAUAAGGACUGAUGUCUGGAGCCCAGGGGUGUUGAUACUUCAGCAGAUUUCCACCAAAUAGACAUUCUCCUAUUCAUGCAGACUGUGCUUGCUUUAACCUACAAACAGAAUAUCACAAGAAUGGGAUUUUCAAGUGCAAUAACAAGCUACUGGAGGAACAGAUAUGGGUAGGAGGUCAACUUGCAUCUCUAAGUGAAAACAUGAGGCCCCUGGGGAUCCCUUUCUGAAUCCAGCAUCCUCCGGUCCAUGUCUUUGCAGGGAUGUGCAGGGGCCCUGUGAAGUUCCUGAGGAAUCCUGCAGCUGUUGGGGUCUUGGAGGAGAUGGCCAGCGUGUCUCCCAGUCCUUGUUAGUACCACAAAUAACCCAUUGAGGGGAGCAGGAGAAGGGAGAGCUUCCAGAGCUGCCCCUGGGGGCUCUCAAUGGGGGCACUGUUUAGGCUUGGGCGGAGGCCAGCCCUGACACCAUGCUGGUUGUCAAGGCCUCAUUCUUCCCAAGGAGGCGGCUGGAAAGGCAGCAGAGCAGCUGAGGCUCCAGAAAAGGUACUUCUCUUGUUCCUUACAAGGCCCAACUGACAAAUGAGAGGAAGCCACUUCCUUUUUAAUUAUCUUCUGUUGUUCAUUACAUUUACAUCCCAAGCGUUUUCCCCCUUCCCAGUCACUCUCGUUUUACUACUCAAGACCCGAAACUGAUGGGUUUUUCCUUUCUCUCCCCAAUCUCCACUGAAACUUCGAAAUGAUGUCAAAAUUUUCUGCUUUGUACCCAUGUCAUUGGGCAGCCCAUCAAAGAAGCACCCUGAGAAUGGCUGCAGUUUUGCUGUUGCUCUUGAGUAGUUCAAAGACUCUUUCAAAAGGAAAAAUGAUGCUUUCGAGAUAGCAAAAUACUAGAUAACCACUGCAGGAAACCUCUGUUGUUUUUCCUAUCCAUCAUCCAUACUCUUCUUUCUGGUAACACCACCUUGAUUUUCCUCUGAGGGCCGCCUCCUUCCACACUCAGCCCAUGGGCUUUGGUGGGGUUGGUCCACCCCAUGGAGGCCCCCUGGCUUCAGGGCUGGACACAGUCCCUGUCAAUAGACACCUGUAUCUCCUAUUCUUCUGGCCUUGGGUGAAGGGUAGACUGGGCCAAGUCAGAGUCAAUCCUGAAAGAUUUUGCUGGAAGCAUUGAGAAAGAGACUCUAUUUCUACUGAAAUUGAUGGAUGAAUACAGUAUAUGUUGGGAAAAGUAAAAUAAAAAAUAAUCACUGUUGCUACCAUAUUGGGAGAGUCAGCAGGAGGAUAGAGGCUACGGAGGAAAACUAAGCCAGAGUGAAAGCCUGCUGGCAUAGGCUGUAGACUGGACCCAGAUAUGCCUGAAAGCAGCACCCUGACCCUUCGGUUAUGCUGUUGCUGUAUUCCUUUUUCUUCCUUUAUCUCAUCUGAGCAUCCUUUCUGUUAGUUGCAAUUGAAACUACCUUGUAUCUUUGAGUCAUACAAAGAUAUUAAACUUUUUUUCAUUUUCUA